CGCCUCUUGUAAUUUCUAAAAAAAGAGGUCCCGUCUGCCCCCUGACUCCAUGUUUAACGGCCGCGGUAUCUUAACCGUGCGAAGGUAGCGUAAUCACUUGUCUUUUAAUUAAGGACCCGUAUGAAUGACAUAACGAGGGCUCAACUGUCUCCUUCUUUUAGUCAAUGAAACUGAUCUCCCCGUGCAGAAGCGGGGAUUUAACCAUAAGACGAGAAGACCCUAUGAAGCUUUAGACACCAGGGCAUAUCCUGUUAAUACCCCCCGAUCAACGGGCCAAAACCCAUCCACCCAUGCCCUCGUCUUAGGUUGGGGCGACCUCGGGGAACAAAAACCCCCCACGUGGAACAGUAGCACUUGCUAUCCACAAUCAAGAGCCACAACUCUAAAAACCAGAACCUCUGACCACAAAAUGACCCGGAAUAAAUACCGAUCAACGAACCAAGUUACUCUAGGGAUAACAGCGCAAUCCCCUUUUCAGAGGCCGCAUCAACAAGGGGGUUUACGACCUCGAUGUUGGAUCAGGACAUCCUAAUGGUGCAGCC
rnacentral:rRNA from 1 species